rnacentral:rRNA from 1 species
AAUCAACGCUGGCGGCGUGCCUAACACAUGCAAGUCGAACGAGAAAGGGGCUUCGGCCCUGAGUAAGUGGCGCACGGGUGAGUAACACGUGACUAACCUACCCUGGAGUGGGGAAUAACUUCGAGAAAUCGAGGCUAAUACCGCAUAACACCUACGGGUCAAAGGAGCAAUUCGCUUCAGGAGGGGGUCGCGGCAGAUUAGUUAGUUGGCAGGGUAAUGGCCUACCAAGACAGUGAUCUGUACCCGGCCUGAGAGGGCGCACGGACACACUGGAACUGAAACACGGUCCAGACUCCUACGGGAGGCAGCAGUGGGGAAUUUUGCGCAAUGGGGGAAACCCUGACGCAGCAACGCCGCGUGGAGGAUGAAGUCUCUUGGGACGUAAACUCCUUUCGACCGGGACGAUAAUGACGGUACCGGAAGAAGAAGCCCCGGCUAACUUCGUGCCAGCCGCCGCCGUAAGAC